rnacentral:rRNA from 1 species
AGUGAACGCUGGCGGUAUGCCUAACACAUGCAAGUCGAACGGCAGCACAGUAAGAGCUUGCUCUUACGGGUGGCGAGUGGCGGACGGGUGAGGAAUACAUCGGAAUCUACUUUUUCGGGGGGGAUAACGUAGGGAAACUUACGCUAAUACCGCAUACGACCUACGGGUGAAAGCAGGGGAUCUUCGGACCUUGUGCGAUUGAAUGAGCCGAUGUCGGAUUAGCUAGUUGGCGGGGUAAAGGCCCACCAAGGCGACGAUCCGUAGCUGGUCUGAGAGGAUGAUCAGCCACACUGGAACUGAGACACGGUCCAGACUCCUACGGGAGGCCGCAGUGGGGAAUAUUGGACGAUGGGCGAAAGCCUGAUACAGCAAUACCGCGUGGGUGAAGAAGGCCUUCGGGUUGUAAAGCCCUUUUGUUGGGAAAGAAAAGCAGCAGGUUAAUCCCCCGCUGUUCCGACGGUACCCAAAGAAUAAGCACCGGCUAACUUCGUG